AUUGAACGCUGGCGGCAGGCCUAACACAUGCAAGUCGAGCGGUAACAGGAGAAAGCUUGCUUUCUUGCUGACGAGCGGCGGACGGGUGAGUAAUGUAUGGGGAUCUGUCCGAUAGAGGGGGAUAACUACUGGAAACGGUAGCUAAUACCGCAUGACGUCUACGGACCAAAGACAGGGGCUCUUCGGACCUUGCGCUAUCGGAUGAACCCGCGUAAGAUUAGGUAGUUGGUGAGGUAAAGGCUCACCAAGCCGACGAUCUUUAGCUGGUCUGAGAGGAUGAUCAGCCACACUGGGACUGAGACACGGCCCAG
rnacentral:rRNA from 1 species